UCCAGUCCACUUGACACAGUAACAAUCACCUGUUAGAGCCUUUGUCAGUUUUGCUCGUACAAAUGACAAAGUCUUAUGGAGAGAAAUGAUGAGAUGACAA